CUGACCUUCCCGGUUUGUUCCUCCGUGUUAAUGAUGCUACUAAUUACCAAAUGUUCUCUAAAACCUCUUAGGCCUUCACCAGUUUCCUCCAUAACGUCUUAAAAGCAGCACCGAAUAAUCCAGAAGAAAUAAAAAUACAUGGACAGCCGCAGUUAGAUAAAUCUGCUGUACGCCUGAAAGAGACGUCUGGACGUUAACGCCUGCUGACCGAUGUUAGCGCCUGCUGACAAAGUGCUAAAUCAUGUCUUGUUCUGGGAGGCUGGACUCUGACCUUGGGAGGCGUCUCGCAUCAGCUGAUUGAUGGCAGAUAGACAACGCGGCACAUUGAAGACAAAGUGAUCGAUUGGGUUUGGACUCACUCAGCUCUUUCUGAUCCCCGGCCUGGACCCGGUUCAACUAAUCCGACACAGUAUAUGUCUUAUUACUGUUUUGCUGUGCUGAGUCAUGCUGUUAGGUUGUAUCCUCACUGCAUGAUUUGGUAUUUAAGUUUUUGUUCACUCAGGGAAAAUUCUUGUUUACUUGUCAAUUACUGCAGCUAAGCCUUUAAACAUAUCAGAAGUAUUUCUAUUUCACAGUGUGAUUUAAACUGUGUAAAAAUAAAUGUUUUGACCCACAAUCUGCCAUGAAUGAAAUAUUGACAUCAAGUUGAACAAAACGUUGUUCCAACAUUUGCUGAAGUUCCAAAUUUGACAGUUCAAGAAAUCAACAUUUUGAUUAAAUAUGAAAAUAUCUAUUUCCA